UGCGCAAACGAUACAACAUGAUACCGUGCGAGUAACUUUUCGAGCAUAGAAAUUGAUUGGUUUACACAAUUGGUUGGCAUAACGAACGUUGAAAUUCUCAAUUACUCUAGAUCUGGAUCAAACGAAGCACAAAUCACACCUACAUACGUAUCGUUGAUCAGAAAAGUGAUUGGAUGCGAGUCGUCAGCCGGUGCGCCAAAGAAACAUGUAUGAACACAAGUAACGAGUGCCUAGCAAAGUAUCUAAGAUGAAUUCGAGGAUAACGAAGAAAUAAGUUCGAUACGACGACUUUCGAGUGUUCGAAUAAGGAAAUACGGGAUCAGAUCGAAAAUUCGGUUGCUCGAAUGAAUGUUUGAGACAGCAAAGCUAUACGAGCGUCUUCUGAAAGAUCUGUUCUAUUGAUAAUUAACGAAUAAGCUAGUAUUACACGAUAUUCCAAUCCAUUAAUUAAAGGUUUUUACAGUCACUGGAAUGUUAGCCUUCGUACGCAUAUUUGAAAUCGAGUGUCGCAGAAACAGGCAGAUUCAUUGAAAUGACUGAAAAUCGAAGCCAGAGGUUGCCGUGUACAACAACGUAAAAAUCGACGCAGCGAAUUGCAAGUGAAAA